UUUCCGUAGGUGAACCUGCGGAAGGAUCAUUAUUGUAUAACCGAGGUGCGAGGGCUGUCGCUGACCCGAAAGGUCGUGCACGCCCGACUGCCCUCACACACAUCCAUCUCACCCCUAUGUGCACCACCGCGUGGGUCCCCCUUUGGCUUGUUCGGAGGGGUGCUUACGUUUUCACACAAACUUUGUAUGCAGUGUAGAAUGUAUUUUUUGUUUUUGCGAUCACGCAAUCAAUACAACUUUCAACAACGGAUCUCUUGGCUCUC
rnacentral:misc_RNA from 1 species